rnacentral:tRNA from 1 species
CGCUAAGAAGCUAAACCGGACUAAAGCGUCAGCCUUUUAAGCUGAAGAUUGGUGCCUUCCAACCACCCCUAGCGA